rnacentral:rRNA from 1 species
UACGUAGGGUGCGAGCGUUAAUCGGAAUUACUGGGCGUAAAGCGUGCGCAGGCGGUUUUGUAAGUCAGAUGUGAAAUCCCCGGGCUUAACCUGGGAACUGCGUUUGAAACUACAAGGCUAGAGUGUAGCAGAGGGGGGUGGAAUUCCACGUGUAGCAGUGAAAUGCGUAGAGAUGUGGAGGAACACCGAUGGCGAAGGCAGCCCCCUGGGUUAACACUGACGCUCAGGCACGAAAGCGUGGGGAGCAAACCGG